rnacentral:lncRNA from 1 species
GCUCAUCCGCCAAUCUUUUUUCACUAAUUUGGCCAUGGGGAUGCUCGGAAUCAAAUUCCAAAUAGAUAAGAGAAUUUUUAUCUAUUUUGGCGGUCAUAGGUGGCUCCGGUGCGGCAGCGGGCAGCGGCUGGCUCCCUUUUUCAGUGAUUGGUUCUUCUUUUUCAGCGGGAGGCUGGCGGCUAGAGUUUGGGUUCAGUGUAAUGUGAGAU